rnacentral:rRNA from 1 species
CAAUAGCGUAUAUUAACGUUGUUGCAGUUAAAAAGCUCGUAGUUGGAUUUCUGGAGGGAGCGUCGGCCCGUAUUUACGAGUGCGUGACGUCUCUGUCCAUCCUUGCGGGAAGGCACGGCAUUGAUUUGUUGUGUCGGAUCGCAUCAUUUACUGUGAAAAAAUUAGAGUGUUCAAAGCAGGCUUUCGCUUGAAUACAUUAGCAUGGAAUAAUAAGAUAGGACUUUGGUGCUAUUUUGUUUGUUGAGCCUAAAGUAAUGAUUAAUAGGGAUAGUUGGGGGCACCUGUAUUGCGUUGUCAGAGGUGAAAUUCUUGGAUUUACGCAAGACAAACAGCUGCGAAAGCGUCUGCCAAGGAUGUUUUCAUUAA